AUUCACAGUACUUGAACUCCUCUUGUCAACUUUCCUCUCUGUGGGCUAAGCCAGCAUGGCCACUUUGAAAGAUUUGUUCCUCUGUGGCCUGAAGAGCUACAGACAUUUCAAACAAUGGGCUCAGAGCAAAGCACACAGUGCAUAAGAAAAUGACUUAAAAGUUCUGAAAGGAUUUCCACUGCGGGGACGCUAGAGAAUUAGUGUAGCCUGUGUGUGGGAUUCUUGAUUCAAAACAGACCACUGAGAAGUUUUUUUUCUCCACUUCAAUCAAAAUAAAAUGAUAUCUGAAAUUAGAAAAGGAUGGUUCUAGUUGUUACACCCUCCUGGUCUGCCCUCUCACAUUUCCACAUCACAUUCCUCGUUUGCCUUGUCUCCAAGAGUAUUUCUCUACACCCACCCUUAGCCCCCUGCUAGGCCU